rnacentral:misc_RNA from 1 species
AACGCACGAGACCUGCGGACCUGCGGAAGGAUCAUUAAUGAGAAGCUGCCCCUCGUGGGUAGACCUCCCACCCUCUGUGAACUUACCUUUGUUGCUUUGGCAGGCCCGUCCUCUGGACCGCCGGCUUCGGCUGGCCCGUGCCUGCCAGAGGAUUCCAAACCCUGUCUGUCAGUGUCGUCUGAGUCUAUAUGAAAUCGUUAAAACUUUUAACAAUGGAUCUCUAGAUCGGAAGAGCACACG